AUUGAACGCUGGCGGAAUGCUUUACACAUGCAAGUCGAGCGGCAGCGCGGGGGGCAACCCCUGGCGGCGAGCGGCGAACGGGUGAGUAACAUAUCGGAACGUACCCCGUCGUGGGGGAUAACACAGCGAAAGCUGUGCUAAUACCGCAUACGACCUGAGGGUGAAAGCGGGGGAUCGCAAGACCUCGCGCGAUGGGAACGGCCGAUAUCGGAUUAGCUUGUUGGUGAGGUAAAGGCUCACCAAGGCGACGAUCCGUAGCUGGUCUGAGAGGACGACCAGCCACACUGGAACUGAGACACGGUCCAGACUCCUACGGGAGGCAGCAGUGGGGAAGUUUUGGACAAGUGGGGGCAACCCUGAUCCAGCCAUUCCGCGUGAGUGAA
rnacentral:rRNA from 1 species